CAAGAGAAGACGACGUCCUCAGGAGACAUGGCUAACACGGGAUGCAUGGAUGCAUGAGGUUGCCAGCGUAACAUGGGUACUGUUUUACAGUCAAGGGUUCUUUUUGGUGUGGAAGAGUUACCCCUGGGCAUACACCUGGAAUACAGUGUGGAAAAGGUCAUCUCUUCAAGCUACAGCCACACUGAGUUGUGCCAAUGAAAAAAGACCUGAGAGGUGACAGAAGGCCACAGAUGUGGUAGUUUGCUCAUGAAGACUCAACAGGGAAAGAAGGGGACCGAGAUCACAUUCUUCUGCAUCUGAGGGUGAAUAAGAGGAGGAGAAGCGCAAGGAAGAAACAGAAAUUGGUAGUCGGAAGGGAAGAACAGCCCAAAGGAAUUACAGCCAGACACACCAAAGAAGGAGACACUGCACAGACUGGGGUGACCAGUUCCGUGGGCUGCAGAGAAAGGCAAGUCAAGAAAAGGUCCGUGACCCUUCAAAGCUAUUUGUGACCUGUUGUAAAUGAGAGUGAAAGCCAGAUUUCAAGGGAUCGAGGUAAGCCAAGCUUUAUGCAUGGGAUUUCACAACUGCUGUGAAGUUUGCCGGGGUUGAGCACCCUCAUCCUGCAGAAGGGUUGGACUCCAUCUCUUCACCUAUUUGGAGAAGUACUUCAAGACUUGCUGACGCUGGGUUUCAGAACUGGAGGUUCCUCUGACUGAUGCUGGGUAGAACAAGGACUGAAGCAGCUCUCAUUCAGCAGCGGGAAGAAGAAAGGCCAAGAGCUGCACAUUGCGUUUUUUGGGCAAAUCUUCGCUAACUGGAUGCGCUCAGAGAGAAAGUAGAACUAAGCAGGUAUGUACGUUUGCGUGACUGUGCACACAGCCACGUACACCGUGGAUGUUAUUUUAGACCCUGCACUACCGAGAACAUUUUGCCUUCUGCUCGUCUUUCUCUUUGCCAUCAGAAGAAGGUUCCACAGUCCUCUGUCCCAGGAUGCUUUGCAGCAAUCCCUCAGUGACCUCAGGCUUAAAUCAGCUGUGACCACUCAGCUUAACCUACGGUCUUUCAGGAAAAGAGCUAAAGAAUUAUAGUUUUGGAGAAGUCUCCUGCUUGACGCGCCAUGGAGGCAAGGGGACUUUCUAGUUUCACUACCCUUGUCCCUCAGCUUUUCUCAGUGUGCUCCCCUUGUGGGGCCCAGAGGCCUGGAGCCAGCAGAGGGGUUAGCAAAUGUUUCCCCUCAGCAUUUCUGAGGAUUCCUGACAGAGCCCAUCAGAGCUCCCUUUCAUCACUGCUGCAUGCGUUAGUGGCUUUAGUGUGUCUGCCCUGGCUCGAAGACAUUGUGUUCCCUGCUGGAUUAAUCCCGCCUGCCUUCAUCCUCAGGAUGUGGGCCGCAAGGAGGGAACAGGGGCGGGGUGGGGGUGGCAGGAAAAUAGGGGAGAAGAGUAAGAGAAGCACUGAAAGCACCAAAUGACAGACAUGGGAUGGGAAAAUAAAAAGCAAACUCAUUUGCAAAACUAGGGGGAAAUACAUUUAAGACGCAUUAAACUAAAAAGCGCAAAAUGGAGAGCAUAGACACACCCCUGGAAUGGAUAAACCCUGAGUCUCAGAAUGUGAGGGGCUUUUGGUGUCAGAAGAGAGGGCCUCGCACUCCAGGCCAGCACAACCAGAGGCAGUUUAUUCGUUUUUAGGUUAUAAAGCAAACUGAUCCCUCCUUGAUUCAUCUUUCACUGAGCACAUGUUCAAUGAGGUGUAUGCCCAGCGGACAUCCUCUGGCCUCAGGUACUUUGUUCCAUCAUAAGCUUCUUCUCAGGUACACUAGAGUCAUUUUGAGAUCACGGUGUUAAGUGAGAUAAACAAGGCACAUAAGUUUAAA